UUAAGAAGGACUUAAAGGGUUAAUUUCUCAUACUAGAAUAUUGAUGUUCCAUACACUGCAUGUCACGUUUGCCAUAUAGACAAAGUGGUUAGCGCUGAACUGAUUUCUUUUGGGCUCGCCGCUAACGGGU
rnacentral:rRNA from 1 species